rnacentral:sRNA from 1 species
UGACUUUGCAUUUAGGUCACCCAGAACGA